rnacentral:rRNA from 1 species
GACGAACGCUGGCGGCGUGCUUAACACAUGCAAGUCGUACGGUAAGGCCCUUUCGGGGGUACACGAGUGGCGAACGGGUGAGUAACACGUGAGUAACCUGCCCACAACUUUGGGAUAACGCUAGGAAACUGGUGCUAAUACUGGAUAUGUGCUCCUGCUGCAUGGUGGGGGUUGGAAAGCUCCGGCGGUUGUGGAUGGACUCGCGGCCUAUCAGCUUGUUGGUGGGGUAGUGGCCUACCAAGGCGGCGACGGGUAGCCGGCCUGAGAGGGUGACCGGCCACAUUGGGACUGAGAUACGGCCCAGACGCCGACGGGAGGCAGCAGUUGGGAAUAUUGCACAAGGGGCGCAAGCCUGAUGCAGCAACGCCGCGUGCGGGAUGACGGCCUUCGGGUUGUAAACCGCUUUCAGCAGGGACGAAGCUUUUUGUGACGGUACCUGCAGAAGAAGCACCGGCUAACUACGUG